GGUCGUUUGGCUCAGUUGGUUAGAGCGCUGCGUUCACAUCGCAGAGGUCAGUGGUUCAAAUCCACUAACGACCA
rnacentral:tRNA from 1 species